rnacentral:rRNA from 1 species
CUACGGGUUGCACCAGUGGGGAAUAUUGCACAAUGGGCGCAAGCCUGAUGCAGCCAUGCCGCGUGUAUGAAGAAGGCCUUCGGGUUGUAAAGUACUUUCAGCGGGGAGGAAGGGAGUAAAGUUAAUACCUUUGCUCAUUGACGUUACCCGCAGAAGAAGCACCGGCUAACUCCGUGCCAGCAGCCGCGGUAAUACGGAGGGUGCAAGCGUUAAUCGGAAUUACUGGGCGUAAAGCGCACGCAGGCGGUUUGUUAAGUCAGAUGUGAAAUCCCCGGGCUCAACCUGGGAACUGCAUCUGAUACUGGCUAGCUUGAGUCUAGUAGAGGGGGGUAGAAUUCCAGGUGUAGCGGUGAAAUGCGUAGAGAUCUGGAGGAAUACCGGUGGCGAAGGCGGCCCCCUGGACGAAGACUGACGCUCAGGUGCGAAAGCGUGGGGAGCAAACAGGAUUAGAUACCCGGGUAGUC